rnacentral:pre_miRNA from 1 species
UCGAGUAAGUGGAGCAGUGGUCUCUUCACUUUGAUUUAUUAAGUGAGAUUCAACUCCUCCAACUUAUUUUU